rnacentral:rRNA from 1 species
CCUACGGGUGGCAGCAGUGAGGAAUAUUGGUCAAUGGACGGAAGCCUGAACCAGCCAUGCCGCGUGCAGGAAGACGGCCCUAUGAGUUGUAAACUGCUUUUAUAAGCGAGAAAUAUGAUGGUAACUUAUGAAUUAGGAUCUGCUAACUACGUGCGAGCAGACGCGGUCAUACGUAGGAGCCGAGCAUGAUCCGGAGUGACUGGGUGUAAAGAGUUGCGUAGGGGGGAUAAUAAGUAGCUAGUGAAAUCUGGUGGCGCAAACAUUCAGACUAUUAGCUAAACUGUUAGGCUCGAGAACGUUAGGGGUAACUGGAAUUUCUGGUGUAGGAGUGAAAUGCGUAGAUAUUAGAAGGAACACCAAUAGCGUAGGCAGGUUGCUGGGACGGAUCUGACACUAAGGCACGAAAGCGUAGGGAGCAAACGGGAUUAGAUACCCUAGUAGUC